UCUCGAACUCUUGACCUCAGGAGAUCCACCCACCUCAGCCUCCCAAAGUGCUGGGAUUACAGGUGUGAGCCACUGCACCCGGCCAAGAACGUGACUUUUGAUUUUCCCAGUAUUUGGAGUGGGUGGGCUGCUUCUGCUGUUGCCAUUGGUGGCCAAAGGUAACAACAGUAUAUUUUGCUGUAGCAGAUUUUACAGAGAUGAAACCAUCUUGCCACUUCUAUUCUUAAUAACUGUGUCCAUCUUUCCUCUCUGCAGAGAUGAAAUUGCCAAAGAGUCAGAAGCUCCUCCAGGCUUAGCCAGCUUUCACCUUUGCUCAUCAUACAUCUAUGGGGCUCCUCUUAACUCACAGAUGGGCUAGCGCCUGUUUUCAGCCUUUAUCCUGAUCCUUCGUAUCUCCAUGCCCGCUCCAUGUCUCUCUCUCCAAUGUCUCUUAUCUCUGUCUUGCUUAACUGGGACCAGUUCUUCCCCCUCCCUCUUUCAGUUUCCAAAGAUCAUCUCCUGCCAGAUCUUGGCCUAAAGUUAACUUGAUUCUCUGGCCUCGCUUACAGAAGCCGAACUGCUCUAAACCACCUUUGGUGGCAGUGACUCCUUCCUGAAUGAGGUCAGGCACUCGAAAAAUUGAUAGGCGACACUCACUCUGGGGCUUCUCACAUAUAUUCCUCAGUCGGGAAUGGUAAAGGUCCCCCCAUUCAGGGACUUCAAUUUUGUGACAGAGAAAAAGACAAAUUUGACUGUCAACAUUUGUUGGGCUCCAAGGAAGUUACACGUGUAACUGAGCUAUUUCAGAUCUCUAUUUGUCAAGCCCAGUGUUCACUGUGGGUUUCCUUACAUCCCUCCCCUGCCCAAACCCCUGCCUUCGAGAAACAGUCUACAAAAAAAGCAUUUACCCUCUGAGGAUUGCUUUGUAAUUAAAAUUUUACAAAUGCCAAAUAAACAAGGGCAUUUUUGAAAUGUAAAUUUGUCAUUUUUCGUAAGCAACUUAAAUCAACUCCACCUGCCUUGAGACUGGUUUCUCCUUCAGCACAAAGCCACGUGCUCCUAGGUUCUCUUUUGGCUCCUGCAGCUCCGAUUCCCCGUGCACUUAGAUCCUGGUGUCGGUUUUUUUUUUCCUUGAACACUUUCUGCAGUUUAGUUAUUUGUUGUAAUUAUCAAGUUCAUUUUUCUCUAAUAGAUGUGAUUAAGUAUAUUUAGCACUGUGUAAUGAGUUUUCUGCCUGGUUGCAUCUUAGCUAAUAAGGAAUUCCUUAGCGGCAACUCUGACAGCUGCUACGAGUCCCAGGUCUGCGCUGCCACAAGAGACUCCUUCCAUGAACUGCUAGCAUUAGAGAAAUUAACUCCAUUACACUAACCAUAAAAUUGAGGCUGAAAUUUGAUUACUAAUAGAUCCUCAAUUCAACUAGAAACUGUAGAAACGGGGUGGUGCCAGUGGGGAGGAAGGUGAACGCGUGUGAAAUGCCAGCAUCCACAUUUUCAUCAGUGUGUGUGUUCACCACACUUCCAAUUUAUUUCCUGGGCAGGAAGGAGAGAAUAGAGCCAAGCUGAUGGAAUUAAAACUGCGUGAUUCAGCCGGUAUAAGACUGGAAAUCUUUGUUACUGCCAUGAUGGUAAUACCUUGUUAUUAGUGCCUCUGUCUUCGCUGAGCUGAGAAACCUCCCGGUGUGUUUUUGGCCAUCAAAACUACUUGCCAUUGUCACCGGUAGUCCAGAUUUGUAAGGCUAAAGUGCUGAGGACAAUUAGUAAUUGGUGACUGGCUGCUAUGAUGUAUAGUUGCUUAGCAACGGUGCCUGAAUUAAGUCUCUGGAAGUGGCAUACAGGAAGAGACAAGACAGGAAGAUGAAAUAGGUACCAUUUCAAUGUGUAGGUGAGUCAGUAAUGAAAAAGGAGUGAAAGAUAUUUGUAAUCAUAGAGACGGCUGAGUGGAAAAUUGGGGCUAAAGGAAAGAAAAGGCGGAACUUAGUUCCUCUCUUGCGAAGUAAAAUAAGAGUAAAUGGCAGUUGAAUCACCCCAUUGAUACAAGAGCUCAUUCUCUUUCUUUGACACUAUACUGUGAACCCAAUGCUAGCUGAACUCAGGGUGCAUUAUUUACCCAAAAGGCAGCAUGAAAAUUCAUGGAAGGAAGAGAUGGAGAAUGAAGUUGCACUGGCUUGAAGUCUUUAGAACAAGAUUAAUUUAGCUUCCGUUAGUUCAUACCAGCGAACUAGGAUUAAGUGGGCGACAGGGCCCAGGUUUGAUUCAGCCCUGCUUGCAAUACUGGGUGGAACUGGUGCUCUGAUAUACUGAUGUUCAGUCUUGCUCUGUUUGGAGUAGAGAAGUAUCUUGAAGAGGCCACGAACAGCAUAUUCAUUUCAUUAGACUUGGCUGUUUUGAGACUCUGAGCAGACUAAGAUAUCACCCUGAACUACAUGAUUUAGUGAGCUGGUUUAGCCUCUGGAAGGCCAGAUGAGCAAAAGAAAGUGGAAAAGCAGUACAAGACCUUGAUCCAGAUACUGAGCCUUGUUAAGGGACUGCCUUAUCUAUGGCAACGAGCUAUGUCUAGAGGUCUGCAAAGGUGCAGGGGCUGUUUUGCAAUUAGUGUUGAAACACUGAGAUAAAGAAAGGAUAUAUAGGAAUUAAAAAGAGAUAACGUAAACACUAACAAAGAGUCUUAAUCCCCUCGGCUGAGUGUUUUGCAUGUUUACCUCUGAUCAGAAUUCUUAAUAAUUUUGAGUGUGUUCCAACUCAAUAAAAAUUCCCUAGGAAGAAACAAGUCGAUUCUUGGAUUAAAAAACAAAACAGAAACAGAAAAAUGUAUGCCCAUGUCUAUUAUUUUAAAAAUAAAAAUUAAGGAAAUUAAAUGACACAGGAAGGUUUUGUUUGGGUUUAGUUUGGUUCAGCCUACUCAUGGGCACAAUUCAGUCCCCCAUUAUCUACUGAUUAGCAGGAUAUCUUUAGGGCUCAGAAAGCAGGUUUUCUGUCUCUACCGAUGGCUUGUUUUCUGGCUGAAGAAUGAAGGUGUUUUGAUACAAAGUUAUUAUUGUUCAAUUGAGAAAGUCUUUGCCCUCCUGGCCUGAAGUUCCCCACUGGAGAGAGGAAGCUGAUAACAAUCUCUGGUUCUUUCCUAGUACCUAUAAAGGGCUCAUCCUCACUUACAAUAGAGCACUGUAUUUUCAGGACAAUGUAUAAUUAUUUGGGAAGAAGCCAAAAUGAUGACUAGUGCGUAACAAUAGCAUGCAUGAUAUCACAAUCUGUCUAAUGGCUGAUGGUUCCAGUUUAAAUAUCUUAAGCUAAGGGUGCUCCGUGCUCUCACAUUCAUUCCCACAGUCCCACCACUGCUGUCCCUUAGCCAGUUCUACAUUGUGAGCAACCCUAUGGAGAAGCCCUUAAGUUGCUGAAGCCUCCAGCCAACAGCCAUGUCGCUGAUUUUGGAAGGCGAUUUUGGAAGCUUAUCUCCCAGACCAAAUCAAGCCUCAGGUGACUGCAGCCCCAGCUGAAACAUUGAUUGCAUUCUUAUGAGAAACCCUAAAACCAGAGCCAUCAGCUCCCAAAUUCCUGACCCACAGAAACUGUGAAAUAAUAAUGUUUGUUGUUUUAACCUGUUCAUUUUUGGAGGUAAUUUGUUACCCGGCAUUAGGUAAUGAAUAUACUGGCCAAUUACCACAUGUAUCGAUUCAUUUAUUUAUUCAUUCAGUAGGCAUUGAAUGACAACUUUGCCAGGGACUGUGCUAGAUGCUAGGGAUACCAAGACAAAUAAAGCAAGGUCCCUGCCUUCAAAGAACUCACAGUCUAGGAGAGUGAGAUGGACACGGAGUCAGAGAACACUGAAGGUUGGUUUAUGAGCAGCAGGCAUACAAAGGAGGAAGCUGGAGUGGAAGGAGCCGUAAAAUUGACAAAGUGGUCUCUAAUAUAACCCUCCCCAGACACACAUACAAAUACAACACUUUCUUCCUAACUUUCACUUAGCUUAGCUGUAGACAGUUCCAGCAAACCUUGUUUAGCACUGCUCCGUGCUACAUUGACUCCUUAUGGAGCUGGCUGACCACUGUGGAAGAGAGAGCACUAUCCUACAUUCUCAGCCCUUGGCUGUGGGCAUCCCAUGAUCAACGUGACUCAGUUUGAGUGACUCUUGCCAGUCUGUCAGUUUUCUUUCCUCUUCCCUGGUCUCUCUGUCAUUAACACCCUAUUACCUA
rnacentral:lncRNA from 1 species